GAACGAAGAACAGAGGAUCACCGUUAUCUCAGUUAGUGAAAUAAAACGAAAUCUCAUCAUUUAUUAUAAUGUAACGUGACCCAGACUGAGUAAUACGAUCUUCUUAGUGUGAUUUAAUUAGACUGAAAUCUUUGGAUUUAGAGAAUUGAGCUUAUUUUCAAAUGCUUUGAUAUCCAUGAAAAGGCUUUUGUUGUAAUGUGCUAUGGCAGUUUGUUGGUUUGGCCAAAUAAUUGCAGGUUAAUGACUGAAUUCAUCAUUUUAACUGAUGGAAAUAUGUAAAUGAGAAAUAUCAAUGUAAAAAGUCCUCUGAAAUUCAGUUUUUGAUGGGAUAUGUGUGAUUAAUUAUAGUAGAGUUGUGUGCAAAUGUACUUUUCAGUGUCUUCUGAACAGCAGGGGGCAUCACACCAUUAUUUUUGUGUGAAUAGAUGGAUCAAACAUCCUUCUUCCUCCUAACUAUUCUGUAUGUAAGACAAACUCUCGUCGUCCAGAAGGCGCUCGGUAACUGAAUCUCCGUUCAGAUCUCCGUCUUAUUGGAAACAUUUAAAUAGUGAAUCAUUUGAAUCGAAUAAUUCUUCAGCAUUUAAUUGGCAAACAAAUGGAAAUCUAAUGUGAUGACAGCAUCUGUGUGCAUCUUCAGCAGAAGUCUAGACAAAAAUGACUGAACCAUCUUCUACUACACCCAACAUCAUGAUAAAACACUCUUGCUUUUUCUUCCCUUCAUUCACCCUUUUUAAAAAAACGCUGAGCUUUGAAUGCUUGGCAUUUUACGCGCUAUUUUUCCCGUCAACCCCUCUGAUGGAGUGGCAGGUAUGGAAUGCCGCCCGUCCUGAACACGGACUGUGGGAAAGAGGCGCUCUUAUCGACAGGACGUGUGUAAUUCAUCUGUUGCUGAGGGCUCGACGGAUUUCUGGAAAGACUCUGAAGAGACGUCUCCUUCAGGCCAGACUUUGAUCAGAUCUUCGAGAAAAAAAAAAAAAAACGAAA